rnacentral:rRNA from 1 species
ACUCCUACGGGAGGCAGCAGUGGGGAAUAUUGCACAAUGGGGAAACCCUGAUGCAGCCAUGCCGCGUGUGUGAAGAAGGCCUUCGGUUGUAAAGCACUUUCAGUAGGGAGGAAGGUAGUGUAGUUAACACCUGCACUAUUUGACGUUACCUACAGAAGAAGCACCGGCUAACUCCGUGCCAGCAGCCGCGGUAAUACGGAGGGGUGCGAGCGUUAAUCGGAAUUACUGGGCGUAAAGCGCAUGCAGGCGGCCUGUUAAGUCAGAUGUGAAAGCCCGGGGGCUUAACCUCGGAAUUGCAUUUGAAACUGGCAGGCUAGAGUCUUGUAGAGGGGGUAGAAUUUCAGGUGUAGCGGUGAAAUGCGUAGAGAUCUGAAGGAAUACCGGUGGCGAAGGCGGCCCCCUGGACAGAUACUGACACUCAGAUGCGAAAGCGUGGGGAGCAAACAGGAUUAGAUACCCUGGUAGGAUAGCG